AACGAACGCUGGCGGCAGGCCUAACACAUGCAAGCCGAGCGAAGCCUUCGGGCUUAGCGGCGGACGGGUGAGUAACGCGUGGGAACGUGCCCUUUGGUACGGAAUAGCCCCGGGAAACUGGGAGUAAUACCGUAUGUGCCCUUCGGGGGAAAGAUUUAUCGCCAAAUGAUCGGCCCGCGUUGGAUUGGGUAGUUGGUGGGGUAAUGGCCUACCAAGCCGACGAGCCAUAGCUGGUUUGAGAGGAUGAUCAGCCACACUAGGACUGAGACACGGACCAGACUCCUACGGGAGGCAGCAGUGGGGAAUCUUAGCCAAUGGGGGAAACCCUGGUCUAGCCAUGCCGCGUGAUCGAUGAAGGCCUUAGGGUUGUAAAGAUCUUUCAGUGGGGAAGAUAAUGACUGUACCCACAGAAGAAGCCCCGGCUAACUCCGUGCCAGCAGCCGCGGUAACAC
rnacentral:rRNA from 1 species